rnacentral:rRNA from 1 species
UUGAACGCUGGCGGCAGGCCUAACACAUGCAAGUCGAACGGUAACAGGAAACAGCUUGCUGUUUCGCUGACGAGUGGCGGACGGGUGAGUAAUGUCUGGGAAACUGCCUGAUGGAGGGGGAUAACUACUGGAAACGGUAGCUAAUACCGCAUAAUGUCGCAAGACCAAAGAGGGGGACCUUCGGGCCUCUUGCCAUCGGAUGUGCCCAGAUGGGAUUAGCUAGUAGGUGGGGUAACGGCUCACCUAGGCGACGAUCCCUAGCUGGUCUGAGAGGAUGACCAGCCACACUGGAACUGAGACACGGUCCAGACUCCUACGGGAGGCAGCAGUGGGGAAUAUUGCACAAUGGGCGCAAGCCUGAUGCAGCCAUGCCGCGUGUAUGAAGAAGGCCUUCGGGUUGUAAAGUACUUUCAGCGGGGAGGAAGGGAGUAAAGUUAAUACCUUUGCUCAUUGACGUUACCCGCAGAAGAAGCACCGGCUAACUCCGUGCCAGCAGCCGCGGUAAUACGGAGGGUGCAAGCGUUAAUCGGAAUUACUGGGCGUAAAGCGCACGCAGGCGGUUUGUUAAGUCAGAUGUGAAAUCCCCGGGCUCAACCUGGGAACUGCAUCUGAUACUGGCAAGCUUGAGUCUCGUAGAGGGGGGUAGAAUUCCAGGUGUAGCGGUGAAAUGCGUAGAGAUCUGGAGGAAUACCGGUGGCGAAGGCGGCCCCCUGGACGAAGACUGACGCUCAGGUGCGAAAGCGUGGGGAGCAAACAGGAUUAGAUACCCUGGUAGUCCACGCCGUAAACGAUGUCGACUUGGAGGUUGUGCCCUUGAGGCGUGGCUUCCGGAGCUAACGCGUUAAGUCGACCGCCUGGGGAGUACGGCCGCAAGGUUAAAACUCAAAUGAAUUGACGGGGGCCCGCACAAGCGGUGGAGCAUGUGGUUUAAUUCGAUGCAACGCGAAGAACUUUACCUGGUCUUGACAACCAUAGAACUUUCCAGAGAUGGAUUGGUGCCUUCGGGAACUGUGAGACAGGUGCUGCAUGGCUGUCGUCAGCUCGUGUUGUGAAAUGUUGGGUUAAGUCCCGCAACGAGCGCAACCCUUAUCCUUUGUUGCCAGCGGUCCGGCCGGGAACUCAAAGGAGACUGCCAGUGAUAAACUGGAGGAAGGUGGGGAUGACGUCAAGUCAUCAUGGCCCUUACGACCAGGGCUACACACGUGCUACAAUGGCGCAUACAAAGAGAAGCGACCUCGCGAGAGCAAGCGGACCUCAUAAAGUGCGUCGUAGUCCGGAUUGGAGUCUGCAACUCGACUCCAUGAAGUCGGAAUCGCUAGUAAUCGUGGAUCAGAAUGCCACGGUGAAUACGUUCCCGGGCCUUGUACACACCGCCCGUCACACCAUGGGAGUGGGUUGCAAAAGAAGUAGGUAGCUUAACCUUCGGGAGGGCGCUUACCACUUUGUGAUUCAUGACUGGGGUG